UACGGAGGGUGCAAGCGUUAUCCGGAUUCACUGGGUUUAAAGGGUGCGUAGGUGGGCUGGUAAGUCAGUGGUGAAAUCCCCGAGCUUAACUUGGGAACUGCCAUUGAUACUAUCAGUCUUGAAUACCGUGGAGGUCAGCGGAAUAUGUCAUGUAGCGGUGAAAUGCUUAGAUAUGACAUAGAACACCAAUUGCGAAGGCAGCUGACUACACGAAUAUUGACACUGAGGCACGAAAGCGUGGGGAUCAAACAGG
rnacentral:rRNA from 1 species